UCUUGAGUCCAAAAGAGGAGAGAAAUCGCACCCCGAGAAGAAGGCGCGAGCUCGGUGGCUCCAGUCCUGCGGGAGCAGAGGGGACAGCAGACCUGCCCAGGUAGAGGGAGACGACUUCUGAGGUGCUGGAGGCUAUUUCUGGAUUUUGCGCGGCCUGGCGCUGGGUGCCACAGCCGGUGAAUGCGGGAGACCUGCAGCAGACCCGGCGCUGCCGCCAGAACCUGCUCACUACGCUCCACACAGCUCGUCAGGGCCCAACCUGAGCACUCCGCGGGCCUGCGGGGAUGGGGCGGAAAGGCUGGCUGCUGUCUUCGGACCCUGAACCCUCCCCUCUUUUUCUCUUUUCUUCAUGUCUACACAAGAGCCUUAGGGUCCUGCCCCGCAACAUGUCUCUCAAGUUCAGGUACCAAGGGCUGCCCCUGAAGCAUCAGCUCACACACCAAACCCAAGUAGCUGAAGGACGCUAGGGUCCGCAAGGAGGGGCAGAAUGGGCAGGCUCACUCGCAGGCCGACGCCACCGACGUGACGCUAGUGAUUUUGGUCGAGUCGUCAGACCACGGCUGCAGAUUCUGCAGGGCGAAGAGCGACGAGUUGUGCACGCACAGAGGGUCAGCGGGCAGCGGCUGUGCCAGGCUCUUCUGGAAGGCCUCCUGCUGCAACUGCAGGAGGAUGCGGUUCGCUUGCUGCCUCUCGGCCUCCCGUUCCUCCGCAGUCUGCCGUCUGCACCGGGAACAAGCCGUUACCUGCCAGGAGCACCGACCCAGCUCCCGCGUGUGCCCAACUCCUGGUGCGUUCCCAGGAGAUAAACUGAACGAGCGCUGCUCGCCUUUGCAGUCCCCAAAUCCAGUUUGGGCCCCUAUAACGCGUUCCCUUCUUUUGAGAGUCCUGACUCCAACAAAGACUGGAAACCCCAAAGCGGAUGGAGCCAAGGUAUC
rnacentral:lncRNA from 1 species